rnacentral:tRNA from 1 species
GCUUCCAUAGCUCAGUCGGCAGAGCGCUUCCAUGGUAAGGAAGAGGUCGCCGGUUCGAGUCCGGCUGGAAGCU